rnacentral:rRNA from 1 species
GUUUUUCGCUUGAGGAUGAGCCCAUACGGGAUUAGCUAGUUGGUGAGGUAAUGGCUCACCAAGGCUACGAUCCCUAACUGGUCUUAGAGGAUGAUCAGCCACACUGGAACUGAGACACGGUCCAGACUCCUACGGGAGGCAGCAGUAGGGAAUAUUGCACAAUGGGGGAAACCCUGAUGCAGCGACGCCGCGUGAGUGAUGAAGGCCUUCGGGUCGUAAAGCUCUGUCGUAUGGGACUAACAC